CGCCGGCGGCAUUCCCGAGCCCCGGGCCGCCGGGAGCUGCGGGGCGAUGUGGGCAGGCGGCGGCGGGGCUCCGCUCCAGCAGGCGGCUUUGUCAACCAGAAGCUCACCAGGCCCAGAGAACAACAAUGCUGACCAUCAGAGCCCAGAAAGCAACAGCAAGAAGCCAUCAGGACAGUCCACAAUAUCAUACGAUUACUCGGAGGAGGAGCUCAUGGCAAGCAUCGAGCGGGAGUACUGCCGCUGAGUCCAGUCCCAUGCCACAAGAACUUCAGGCAUAAUCCUGGAAGCCCAGCUGGAGCAAAACUGCUACUGACAAAAUAACCCUUCACACAGAGAAAUGGCACGGGAGAGGUGGGUGGUGAAGGGUGGUGGAGUGUAAGAGGCAGCAUAGCUGCUUAGGAAGCAUGGAGAGCAUGGACCAACUCUGAGUGAGACCGUGAAGAUCCUCAUCAACUGCUGAUUCCUGAUUGGUGCCACUGGAAGAGGGACCAAUUCAUCUUGAGUACCAAUAUUUAGAAGCUCAUUUCUAGAUGCUAUUUACAAAUGGACAUGUACUAGAAUUGAAGUGUCAUACUAGAAGUUUUGAAACAUGAUACUUUGAAAGAAGACCUUGCUUUGACUUAGUAGAAGAAAAAUGCAGCCAUAUCAUUUGAUCCAGAAGUUACUUAAGGGUAUGUUGCAUGAAAUUCAUGUUCCUGCCACGUAAUAUGGGCCAAAUGUACUCCUUGUGCUGUGCAAGCCUCAGGUCCAGGUCUGAAUUUGGCACUGUCUCUUUCAAUGUGGUCCCCAGUAUGGGGGAUAAGAGGAAAAGGGGACUGAGCCCACCAUCCAGUACAUAGGCAGUGUAAUCCCAGAGUUCAAAUCCCACCACAGAGGCAAAUGAGGCUCCUGGGAGCUAUCAGAGAACAUAGGAUUUGUAUGAUCCCUUUGGGGCAGAGUCCCAGCAUAGGUGUCCUAUUUGGGGCUCCUUGAUGUGGAUCCUCCAGUGAAAGCAGGAUGCGUAUCCCCAUUCCAAUCAUUCAUCUCAAGAGGGACUUGCAUGCUCUUGUAGAAAGCAGCUGUCAGCGAUCUGGCCUUCCCAUGUAUUUUGUGUCCUUGGUAGGUAACCUAGAAGAAAAACCAUUACAUUUUACUGUUAGCUGACUGCAAAGUAAAACAGAAAGUCGUCUCUCUGAAGAAAACAGUACAUUUUCACUGCUCCCAGACAGGGAAGCCUGGCAUUUUGGGGCUUCUGCUUUUAUUUUACCUGCAUCUUAACAACUGCUUAUUAUCAGAAGUAGAAAAAUAUCUUAUUUCUACCUUCAGCUGAAGCAUAAAAGGCAUCAGAUAGAAUCUUCACCACGUGUAAAUGCAAGAGGAAACAGUGGGACACCUUUUAGGAUGCUAAGAUGCUGUAUUUUAAGUAUUUUGUGAUUCCUGGUACCUGUGAAACAGAAAUAAAUGCAUUUGUACUCUA